AAUGUUCUGCCGUUGUUUUGUUUUCUUUGUUUGCUUGUUACUACACCCGUAGACAGCGCUAAAGUCCAGCAUCUUUACGUAGUAACACUGUCUUCUUGACUAGUGCUGUUGAAUGACAUUUGUCCUGGGAGCACUGUACAAAUGUGGCGGCGCUUUAGACGCAUGCUCAGGGUCCCUAUGCGAUAUCUAGUGUAUAUAUCUAUGAUACUGUAGUAGCUAUCUGCUGCGGCUGCCUCAAUGGCAGGCAAAUACAUUUUACUUCAGUGGAAAACUCGGCCCUCAUCAUGAUAUAAGGAUUAUGCCCAUCAUAUGUGCUUAUUUUCUAUUUGUGUCUCCUUUGAUAUAUGACAUACAUCGCAAAAAUACGGCCUUUCCUCUGUUUUCCUGCCCUCCUCCAUUUGAAUUUCGCGCCUCACCAAAACCACGUGAUUGUAAAUGUGGAGGGCGGGUGUAGUGACGUCGGCGCGCAGGGGCGGGGCAGGUUGUGAUUUUGGUAUAAAUACGCACGUCAGCUGGCUCACCUGUUUGCCAGUUCGAUAGUUUGCUAUGUUGUCCGAUAAUAACGUCAAACAAACAAACGCCCCAAACACUCGAUGGGAUCCACGCCGAUUACCGCCAAAGAGCUUUUUGGCCUGAGGUCGACACAUCAUCCUCAAAAUCACACCAGGAGUUUGAGACCCAACUGUAAAGCAGCUUACAAAAGUGUUGCCAACUAUUUCCAAGAGGAGGGGAGACUGCAGACUUGGAUCCAGACAGAUCUACGGCCUAAGCAGUUUUACGUCCCAGGCAGUUUUACACCCAUGUUGUCCCUGAUGCGUCCAGUAGAGGGAGGCAGUGCAGUAUUUUCUAUUAAGCCUCCAGAACUCUACCACACUCAACCAUAAUUGCAUUCAAUUACAUUUAAUAUAAUGCAAUGUUCUAGUUUAAACAAUUAAACUAUCAUAUGUCUAUAAAUGCAAAGAAAUCUCACAAUUUUAAAUGGUCUACUGAUUUUUAUUUAUAUAGCUAUACAGUGCAUUUUGUAUAUAAGCUAUGAAGUUUGCAUUGCACAUGCAUUUAUAUAGUUUCACAUUGUUUUAUAAUGUUUAUUGUGACAAUUUGUUACAAAGAAAAUAAUAAAAUAUGGGAAAGUCGGUAUCACAAUUUGUGGCUGCAAAUAAAAAAUAAAUAAUGACUUUGUC